rnacentral:rRNA from 1 species
AGCGAACGCUGGCGGCAGGCUUAACACAUGCAAGUCGAGCGGGCAUCCUUGUGGUGUCAGCGGCAGACGGGUGAGUAACGCGUGGGAACGUGCCCUUCGGUUCGGAAUAACUCAGGGAAACUUGAGCUAAUACCGGAUACGUGCGAGAGCAAAAAGGUUUAUCUGCCGAAGGAUCGGCCCGCGUCUGAUUAGCUAGUUGGUGAGGUUAUGGCUCACCAAGGCGACGAUCAGUAGCUGGUCUGAGAGGAUGAUCAGCCACACUGGGACUGAGACACGGCCCAGACUCCUACGGGAGGCAGCAGUGGGGAAUAUUGGACAAUGGGGGCAACCCUGAUCCAGCCAUGCCGCGUGAGUGAUGACGGCCUUAGGGUUGUAAAGCUCUUUUCUCCGGGACGAUAAUGACGGUACCGGAGGAAUAAGCCCCGGCUAACUUCGUG